AUGAGAAAGAAAACACUGUGGAUUUUUCAGCGCUGUUAUCCAACGGUCAAAAAAUUGUUCAGGAUUGACCAUACUCGACUUGGUCAUAUUCCAAAUACUUGUGCGAAGUAUGUGUAUAACACCAAGUGCAAGACUAAAUGGUAUUUAGUUGUCCAGAAGGCUAUGUGGGUGAUGAUUAUAGACUCUAGAAUUAGGAAAAGAAAUAAUGGAACCAAGAUGUCCUUGACUGAGGGGAACUUUGGGGCCUUGGAUACAAGGUUACACAAGAGGGUUUGCACAGAGUUGCUGCAGCUGACCGCUUCUCUCUCCUCGUUCCAAACCUGA
rnacentral:lncRNA from 1 species